rnacentral:rRNA from 1 species
CCUACGGGUGGCUGCAGUGGGGAAUAUUGCACAAUGGGGGAAACCCUGAUGCAGCAACGCCGCGUGAGCGAUGAAGGCCUUCGGGUCGUAAAGCUCUGUCCUAAGGGAAGAAUACUGACGGUACCUUAGGAGGAAGCCCCGGCUAACGACGUGCCAGCAGCCGCGGUAAUACGUAGGGGGCUAGCGGUAGCCGGAAUUACUGGGCGGAAAGGGUGCGGAGGCGGCUCGUCAAGGCAGAGGUGAAAGGCUCCGGCUCAACCGUAGUAAGCCUUUGAAACUGUAGGGCUUGAGUGCAGGAGAGGAGAGUGGUAUUCUCAGUGUAGCGGUGAAAUGCGUAGAUAUUGGGACGAACACCAGUUGCGAAGCCGGCUCUCUGGCCUGUAACUGACGCUGAGGCACGAAAGCGUGGGGAGCGAACAGGAUUAGAUACCCCGGUAGUC